rnacentral:rRNA from 1 species
UACGUAGGGUGCGCGCGUUAAUCGGAAUUACUGGGCGUAAAGCGUGCGCAGGCGGCUUUUUAAGCCAGAUGUGAAAUCCCCGGGCUUAACCUGGGAACUGCAUUUGGAACUGGAAGGCUAGAGUGCGGCAGAGGGGGGUAGAAUUCCACGUGUAGCAGUGAAAUGCGUAGAGAUGUGGAGGAAUACCGAUGGCGAAGGCAGCCCCCGGGGUCGACAAUGACGUUCAUGCACGAAAGCGUGGGGAGCAAACAGG